AUUGAACGCUGGCGGCAGGCCUAACACAUGCAAGUCGAGCGGGGUUUUCGGACCUAGCGGCGGACGGGUGAGUAAUGCGUAGGAAGCUACCCGACAGGGGGGAUACCAGUUGGAAACGACUGUUAAUACCGCAUAAUGUCUACGGACCAAAGUGUGGGACCUUUGGGCCACAUGCUAUCGGAUGCGCCUACGUCGGAUUAGCUAGUUGGUGAGGUAAUGGCUCACCAAGGCGACGAUCCGUAACUGGUCUGAGAGGAUGAUCAGUCACACUGGAACUGAGACACGGUCCAGACUCCUACGGGAGGCAGCAGUGGGGAAUAUUGGACAAUGGGCGAAAGACCUGAUCCAGCCAUGCCGCGUGUGUGAAGAAGGUCUUCGGAUUGUAAAGACACUUUAAGUUGGGAGGAAGGGUAGGUAACCUAAU
rnacentral:rRNA from 1 species